GCUAAUACAUGCAAGUCGAGCGGACCGACGGGAGCUUGCUCCCUUAGGUCAGCGGCGGACGGGUGAGUAACACGUGGGUAACCUGCCUGUAAGACUGGGAUAACUCCGGGAAACCGGGGCUAAUACCGGAUGCUUGAUUGAACCGCAUGGUUCAAUCAUAAAAGGUGGCUUUUAGCUACCACUURCAGAUGGACCCGCGGCGCAUUAGCUAGUUGGUGAGGUAACGGCUCACCAAGGCGACGAUGCGUAGCCGACCUGAGAGGGUGAUCGGCCACACUGGGACUGAGACACGGCCCAGACUCCUACGGGAGGCAGCAGUAGGGAAUCUUCCGCAAUGGACGAAAGUCUGACGGAGCAACGCCGCGUGAGUGAUGAAGGUUUUCGGAUCGUAAAACUCUGUUGUUAGGGAAGAACAAGUACCGUUCGAAUAGGGCGGUACCUUGACGGUACCUAACCAGAAAGCCACGGCUAACUACGUGCCAGCAGCCGCGGUAAUACGUAGGUGGCAAGCGUUGUCCGGAAUUAUUGGGCGUAAAGCGCGCGCAGGCGGUUUCUUAAGUCUGAUGUGAAAGCCCCCGGCUCAACCGGGGAGGGUCAUUGGAAACUGGGGAACUUGAGUGCAGAAGAGGAGAGUGGGAAUUCCCCGUGUAGCGGCGAAAUGCGUACAGAUGUGGAGGAACACCAGUGUGGAAG
rnacentral:rRNA from 1 species